AUACCAGGUUUGAAACACCGGGCUUCGUACGGUCACCUCGGUUAAACAAUGUCGAUCCUGGUCAGUACCUAGAUGGGUGACCGCUUGGGAAUAGCAGGUGCUGUAA